GCCCCGGCUAACUACGUGCCAGCAGCCGCGGUAAUACGUAGGGGGCGAGCGUUAUCCGGAAUUAUUGGGCGUAAAGAGUGCGUAGGUGGCUGUGCAAGCGCAUGGUUUAAGAUAACGGCUUAACCGUUGUAUGCCGGGCGAACUGGACAGCUUGAGUACAGGAGAGGAAAGCGGAAUUCCUAGUGUAGCGGUAAAAUGCAUAGAGAUUAGGAAGAACACCGGUGGCGAAGGCGGCUUUCUGGCUGGCAACUGACGUUGAGGCGCGAAAGUAUGGGUAGCGAACAGGAUUAGAUACCCUGGUAGUCCAUACCGUAAACGAUGAAUACUAGGUGUAGGAGGUAUCGACUCCUUCUGUGCCGAAACGAACGCAUUAAGUAUUCCACCUGGGGAGUACGAUCGCA
rnacentral:rRNA from 1 species